CUGCCGGGGAGCCGUCCGCCUGAAGGACCCGGCAGUCAGUGUUGCUUUUUCACAAAUACGUUUCUUUUUUUUUUUUAAUCCUUACACCAGAAUUACAGUAAACUUUGGCCAGCUUGACUUCCGCCCUCCUAUUUCUCCUGCUGCACAGCUCAGCUUUGAUAAGUAAAGAAAACUUCUCAGUUUUUCUUCAGGAUUUCUUUCAAACAAACUAGUGAGUUGGUUUGAAAAAUAGCGAGGAAAAAAGAGCAAAGGAUUUAAUCUGAAAGAGCAAUUAAAAGAAAACAUUUAAAUGGUACGAAGGACAUUACCGUGGAUUAAAGCUAUUUAAAAACUGAAAUUAUUGGGUGAUUUUGCCCAGGCGUCAUCAAACCGCACUCCUUUAUGAUUUAAGUUUUUGGAUGAAUUUUGGCUUCUUAAAGCUGAAGUUGCAACAAUUUCCCUCAAAGGAAAUUCACAGCAGAGAUUCAGAGACCGAAUCGUGAGAUUUCGGCUGACACUGCAUGCAACCUGCAGCAGGCAUGGAAUGGUGCAUAAGAGGAUCUGGUUUUUAUCUCAGUUAAACAAAACUAGGUUUUCAUUGAGGAACAGCAACGCCGCAGCUGCUUUCAGUCAAACUUUCUGAAUUCAAUUUCACCUCUUUGAUUUCGUGCAAUUAAUGCAGGAAAACGAGAACAGCUUUGUUAUUUCUAGCCAAUAUGAAAUGCAGUUUGUUUGAGCAAAGAGAACAAAAGAGAGCUAAACACAAGUGCAUCAAUGAAAUAAGACCAGAUUGCAAAUUCUAUACUACUCACAGGAUAAUUGAGAUGUUUUAUUAUUAUUUUUAAAAGUGAUGAAUUAAUAAAACGUAGUUUGUGUCGA